rnacentral:lncRNA from 1 species
AUGUGCAUAGAGGGGGUCGAGUGGAUCCCGGGGGAGUGUGCUGACUGGGGACACGUGAGGGCCGGGCUUGGGACUCAGAAGGAGAGCACUGAACGGAGAAGCUGGGGAGGAAGAGCAGAAGCUGGGGCGGGGAGAGGAGAAGCUGGGGGUGGGGAGGGGAAGCUGGGGAGUGGGAGAGGAAGCUGGGGGAGAGGAGAAACGGGAAAAGAGGAGAAGCUGGGGGUGGGGAGGGGAAGCUGGGGGAGAGGAGAAGCUGGGGGAGGAGAGGAGAAGCAGGGGGAGGAGAGGAGAAGCUGGUCGGGGAGAGGAGAAGCUUAUGGGAAGAGCGGAAGAUGGGGAGGAGAGGGGAAGCUGAGGGGCAGCAGGGAAGCUGGGGGAGAGGAGAAGCUGGUGGGGAGAGGAGGAGCUGGGGUGGGGAAGAGGAGAAACGGGAGAGGGAAGAGGAGAAGCUGGGGGUGGGGAGGAGGAAAAGCUGUGGGGGAGAGGAGAAACUGGGAAGAAAGAGGAGAAGCUGGUGGGGGAGUGGAGGAGAAGCUGGUGGAGGAAAGGAGAAGCUGGCGGGGAGAGGACAAGCUGCGGGGAGAGAAGCUGGGGGAAGAGGACAAGCUGGUGGGGAGAGGAGAAGUUGGGGGCGGGGAGGAGGAGAAGCUGUGGGGAGAGGAGAAACGGGAAAAGAGGAGAAGCUGGUGGGGGAGGAGGAGAAGCUGGGGGAGAGGAGGAGGAGCUGGUGGAGGAAAGGAGAAGCUGGCAGGGGAGAGGACAAGCUGCGGGGAGAGGACAAGCUGGGGGGGGGGAGAGGACAAGCUGGUGGGGAACAGGACAAGCUGGUGGGGAGAGGAGGAGCUGGGGGUGGGGAAGAGGAGAAACGGGAGAGGGAAGAGGAGAAGCUGGUGGGGGAGAGAAGGAGAAGCUUGCGAGGAAGAGGAGAAGCUGGUGGGGGAGAGGAGGAGAAGUUGGCGGGGAGAGGAGAAGCUGCAGGAGAGGAGAAGCUGGGGGGGGGGCGGGGAGGAGGAGAAGCUGGGGAGAAAGAGGAGAAGCUGGGGAGAGGAGAAGCUGGGGGGAGCGGAGUAG